rnacentral:rRNA from 1 species
AUUGAACGCUGGCGGCAGGCCUAACACAUGCAAGUCGAACGGUAGCACAGAGAGCUUGCUCUCGGGUGACGAGUGGCGGACGGGUGAGUAAUGUCUGGGAAACUGCCUGAUGGAGGGGGAUAACUACUGGAAACGGUAGCUAAUACCGCAUAAUGUCGCAAGACCAAAGAGGGGGACCUUCGGGCCUCUUGCCAUCGGAUGUGCCCAGAUGGGAUUAGCUUGUUGGUGAGGUAAAAGCUCACCAAGGCGACGAUCCCUAGCUGGUCUGAGAGGAUGACCAGCCACGCUGGAACUGAGACACGGUCCAGACUCCUACGGGAGGCAGCAGUGGGGAAUAUUGCACCAUGGGCGCAAGCCUGAUGCAGCCAUGCCGCGUGUGUGAAGAAGGCCUUCGGGUUGUAAAGCACUUUCAGCGGGGAGGAAGGCGGUGAGUUUAAUAAGCUCACCGAUUGACGUUACCCGCAGAAGAAGCACCGGCUAACUCCGUGCCAGCAGCCGCAGUAA